GGGGGAACUGAAACAUCUAAGUACCCCGAGGAAAAGAAAUCAACCGAGAUUCCCCCAGUAGCGGCGAGCGAACGGGGAGCAGCCCAGAGUCUGAAUCAGCUUGUGUGUUAGUGGAACGGUCUGGAAAGUCCGACGGUACAGGGUGAUAGUCCCGUACACCAAAAUGCACAGGCUGUGAACUCGAAGAGUAGGGCGGGACACGUGGUAUCCUGUCUGAAUAUGGGGGGACCAUCCUCCAAGGCUAAAUACUCCUGACUGACCGAUAGUGAACCAGUACCGUGAGGGAAAGGCGAAAAGAACCCCGGCGAGGGGAGUGAAAAAGAACCUGAAACCGUGUACGUACAAGCAGUGGGAGCACCUUCGGGUGUGACUGCGUACCUUUUGUAUAAUGGGUCAGCGACUUAUAUUCUGUAGCAAGGUUAACCGUAUAGGGGAGCCGCAGGGAAACCGAGUCUUAACUGGGCGUUAAGUUGCAGGGUAUAGACCCGAAACCCGGUGAUCUAGCCAUGGGCAGGUUGAAGGUUGGGUAACACUAACUGGAGGACCGAACCGACUAAUGUUGAAAAAUUAGCGGAUGACUUGUGGCUGGGGGUGAAAGGCCAAUCAAACCGGGAGAUAGCUGGUUCUCCCCGAAAGCUAUUUAGGUAGCGCCUCGUGAAUUCAUCUUCGGGGGUAGAGCACUGUUUCGGCUAGGGGGUCAUCCCGACUUACCAACCCGAUGCAAACUACGAAUACCGAAGAAUGUUAUCACGGGAGACACACGGCGGGUGCUAACGUCCGUCGUGAAGAGGGAAACAACCCAGACCGCCAGCUAAGGUCCCAAAGUCAUGGUUAAGUGGGAAACGAUGUGGGAAGGCACAGACAGCCAGGAUGUUGGCUUAGAAGCAGCCAUCAUUUAAAGAAAGCGUAAUAGCUCACUGGUCGAGUCGGCCUGCGCGGAAGAUGUAACGGGGCUAAACCAUGCACCGAAGCUGCGGCAGCGACACUAUGUGUUGUUGGGUAGGGGAGCGUUCUGUAAGCCUGCGAAGGUGACCUGUGAGGGUUGCUGGAGGUAUCAGAAGUGCGAAUGCUGACAUAAGUAACGAUAAAGCGGGUGAAAAGCCCGCUCGCCGGAAGACCAAGGGUUCCUGUCCAACGUUAAUCGGGGCAGGGUGAGUCGACCCCUAAGGCGAGGCCGAAAGGCGUAGUCGAUGGGAAACAGGUUAAUAUUCCUGUACUUGGUGUUACUGCGAAGGGGGGACGGAGAAGGCUAUGUUAGCCGGGCGACGGUUGUCCCGGUUUAAGCAUGUAGGCUGGUUGUCCAGGCAAAUCCGGAUAAUCAAGGCUGAGGUGUGAUGACGAGGCACUACGGUGCUGAAGUAACAAAUGCCCUGCUUCCAGGAAAAGCCUCUAAGCAUCAGGUAACAUCAAAUCGUACCCCAAACCGACACAGGUGGUCAGGUAGAGAAUACCAAGGCGCUUGAGAGAACUCGGGUGAAGGAACUAGGCAAAAUGGUGCCGUAACUUCGGGAGAAGGCACGCUGGUGUGUAGGUGAAGUCCCUGCGGAUGGAGCUGAGACCAGUCGAAGAUACCAGCUGGCUGCAACUGUUUAUUAAAAACACAGCACUGUGCAAACACGAAAGUGGACGUAUACGGUGUGACGCCUGCCCGGUGCCGGAAGGUUAAUUGAUGGGGUUAUCCGUAAGGAGAAGCUCUUGAUCGAAGCCCCGGUAAACGGCGGCCGUAACUAUAACGGUCCUAAGGUAGCGAAAUUCCUUGUCGGGUAAGUUCCGACCUGCACGAAUGGCGUAAUGAUGGCCAGGCUGUCUCCACCCGAGACUCAGUGAAAUUGAACUCGCUGUGAAGAUGCAGUGUACCCGCGGCAAGACGGAAAGACCCCGUGAACCUUUACUAUAGCUUGACACUGAACAUUGAGCCUUGAUGUGUAGGAUAGGUGGGAGGCUUUGAAGCGUGGACGCCAGUCUGCGUGGAGCCAACCUUGAAAUACCACCCUUUAAUGUUUGAUGUUCUAACGUUGGCCCCUUACCGGGGUUGCGGACAGUGUCUGGUGGGUAGUUUGACUGGGGCGGUCUCCUCCCAAAGCGUAACGGAGGAGCACGAAGGUUAGCUAAUCCUGGUCGGACAUCAGGAGGUUAGUGCAAUGGCAUAAGCUAGCUUGACUGCGAGCGUGACGGCGCGAGCAGGUGCGAAAGCAGGUCAUAGUGAUCCGGUGGUUCUGAAUGGAAGGGCCAUCGCUCAACGGAUAAAAGGUACUCCGGGGAUAACAGGCUGAUACCGCCCAAGAGUUCAUAUCGACGGCGGUGUUUGGCACCUCGAUGUCGGCUCAUCACAUCCUGGGGCUGAAGUAGGUCCCAAGGGUAUGGCUGUUCGCCAUUUAAAGUGGUACGCGAGCUGGGUUUAGAACGUCGUGAGACAGUUCGGUCCCUAUCUGCCGUGGGCGCUGGAGAAUUGAGGGGGGCUGCUCCUAGUACGAGAGGACCGGAGUGGACGCAUCACUGGUGUUCGGGUUGUCAUGCCAAUGGCACUGCCCGGUAGCUAAAUGCGGAAGAGAUAAGUGCUGAAAGCAUCUAAGCACGAAACUUGCCCCGAGAUGAGUUCUCCCUGAGACUUUAAGUCUCCUGAAGGAACGUUGAAGACGACGACGUUGAUAGGCCGGGUGUGUAAGCGCAGCGAUGCGUUGAGCUAACCGGUACUAAUGAACCGUGAGGCUUAACCUU
rnacentral:rRNA from 1 species